UGGGGAAUUGUUCGCAAUGAGCGCAAGCCUGACGACGCAACGCCGCGUGGAGGAUGAAGGUCUUCGGAUUGUAAACUCCUGUUGAUCGGGACGAAAAGCUUCGACCUAACACGUCGAAGACUGACGGUACCGGUUGAGGAAGCCACGGCUAACUCUGUGCCAGCAGCCGCGGUAAUACAGAGGUGGCAAGCGUUGUUCGGAAUUACUGGGCGUAAAGGGCGCGUAGGCGGUCUUCUAAGUCGGACGUGAAAGCCCCAGGCUUAACCUGGGAACUGCGUCCGAUACUGGGAGGCUUGGAUUCGGGAGAGGGAUGUGGAAUUCCAGGUGUAGCGGUGAAAUGCGUAGAUAUCUGGAGGAACACCGGUGGCGAAGGCGGCAUCCUGGACCGAGAUCGACGCUGAGGCGCGAAAGCUAGGGGAGCAAACGGGAUUAGAUACCCCGGGUAGUCCUAGCCCUAAACGAUGAGUGCUUGGUGUGGCGGGUAUCGAUCCCUGCCGUGCCGAAGCUAACG
rnacentral:rRNA from 1 species